AUGCAGGUGAUUAGGGUAAGCUGUCCUAAUAAUUGUGAGGCUUCCCUGGUGGCUCAUGUGGUAAAGAAUCUGCCUGGCAUGUGGGAGACCUGGGUUCGAUCCCUGGGUUGGGAAGAUCCCCUGGAAAUUACUGUGAGAAUAAAAACCAGUGGUCAGGACAGCAGACAAGAGUGUGGGGUCCAAUUCGCGUGGCUAUUGUGUGCCCCGGGAAGGGGGAUCUCUCCUACCUUGGCCAUACUCUCUCAGGGACCCCACACUUGGCAGCCGUCCUUGGAAUCUGAGGAGAUGCACGUACCUUCUUGGCAGGACACUGCAGGGUCCAAGGCUGGAGGAAGAAAGGGGAUGAGUAAGCCAUUCUCGCCCCUCCCUCUGGAGCUAGGAGAGGCCCCCACAGCCCCUCCGUUCUUCCUGUUUCAUCCUCCGUGUCUAAGCCUGAGCUCACCAAGGAAGAGUCGCCUGUCCACACUUCUGCGACUUGGCUCGCAGAGACCAAGAGAAACCAGGAGGCCCCAUCUGGAAGGAGGGGUGCUGUGGGAAUACCAAAGCACCACAUCAUACAAAGUAAACGCUGAAGCAAAAAUACUUUCUGAAUAUAUACUGUACAUCAUGUAAACAAACAUUCAUAAGAAGAAUCAACACAGGCCAAAAUAUCAUUUUCUAGGAAAUCAGAAUCUCCUUUCUUUUAAAUCACACACGCUGAAGAUGCUUUUUGUUAGGAAGAGAAUGGAGCCUGUUCCUGUAUUUGUUUAUGUGCUUAAAUAUCUUGGAAACAAGUAAUUGUUACAUUCAUUUGCUAACGGUUUGUCCUCUUCGUUGGCUGGCUGUUGCAAACAAGGAAUACAGUACUAUUUCAGUACCUAUGUUUCAUGUAAAUACUAGCUAUGUAAUAUAUAAUGAACUCAUUUUUAUCAGUCCAUAUUAAUAAUAUAAAUAGAUUCAAUGAAGCAGUGAAUUUAAAAAUUUGUGCCGGGGAAACUAGUUGAUAAUUUGUUUCCAAUAAGGCUAGUAGCAAGAUAAUUACUACAAAGUUAGUCUGAGCUAGUAGUAAACCCCUGAUUUAGCGAGCUGAAUCAAAGUCUGAAGUUAGGUCAUUUUAUUUCCUCUAUUACUGUGCAAAUCUAGAAUUUCCUAAGUAAGAGAGAGUGCUGGCAGUCUUGCAAUAAGCAAAUGAAAUACUGCUUAGGUUUCUGAAAUGCAGAGACACUAUAUGAAGAAAUCUGAAUGUCUUAAUGAUGGUGUCACAGCAGUGACCUUAGGAUUUCCUAAAUGAAUCAGAAACUAAGAAAGACAAUUCAAUCAUCAAUCAAAAGCCUACAUGUGAAGCAAAAAAAAUAAAAGAUACAAAAUCAAAGAUGCAUUUUCUGCUAUGACCGUAUGCAGCAGUUUCAAGCUGUAUGUCAACCUUGUGUACCAGCAGCAGCCCCCUCUAACAGGAAAAAAAGCUUAGUCAUGACUGUCCCUCUCUUUUCAAAGCUUCCAGUCUUUGAAGGAGCGCAUUUCCAAAUGCUUCCCGGUACGCAGGGCUAAGCGUAUCCAACAGGGAGUAGACUGUUUCGUGGUAGGGAGUCUGUAAAUGAUCAUCCACCUGGUCGAAAGCAUACCCUACCACCUACAAGAAAAAUUAAAUAAUCAGAUUUCAUCUUGGUACAGAAAGCAAAAAAAACACAAGUUUUUACAUGGGUCAUUCUCUAAUGACAUUAUGCAUUUCUCAAUUAAUAGUUAGAAUACACAUUUUAAAUAUCCAUACAACCUAUAAUAUUUAAGCAAUUUAUAAAAUAAGGAACAUCACCAGCAAAAUGCUCUCACCAGUUUUUUCUCAAAAUUUAAAAGGUUUGAUUUACCUACUCUUGAUCCUGAAAAUCAUGAGAAACGCCGGGCUGGAGAAGCACAAGUUGGAAUCAAGAUUGCCGGGAGAAAUAUCAAUAACCUCAGAUAUGCAGAUGACACCACCCUUAUGGCAGAAAAGUGAAGAGGGACUAACAUGCCUCUUGAUGAAAGUGAAAGUGGAGAGUGAAAAAGUUGGCUUAAAGCUCAACAAUCAGAAAACCAAGAUCAUGGCAUCUGGUCCCAUCACUUCAUGGCAAAUAGAUGGGGAAACAGUGGAAACAGUGUCAGACUAUGUUUUGGGCUCAAAAAUCACUGCAGAUGGUGAUUGCAGCCAUGAAAUUAAAAGAUACUUACUACUUGGAAGAAAAGUUCCGACCAGCCUAGAUAGCAUCUGCUGAGAAGAUAUCAUCAUUUGAGACUGUUUCUAUUUACUU
rnacentral:lncRNA from 1 species